CUGCCCUGGCCCCCAAGAUCGGCCCCCUGGGUCUGUCUCCAAAAAAGGUUGGUGAUGACAUUGCCAAGGCAAUGGGUGACUGGAAGGGCCUGAGGAUUACAGUGAAACUAACCAUUCAGAACAGACAGAAAGAAACAGAAAAACAUUAAACACAGUGGGAAUAUCACUUUUGAUGAGAUCGUCAACAUUGCUCGACAGAUGCGGCACCAAUCCUUAGCCAGAGAACUCUCUGGAACCACUAAAGAGAUCCUGGGGACUGCCCAGUCUGUGGGCUGUAAUGUUGAUGGCCG
rnacentral:lncRNA from 1 species